GUAACACGUGAGCAACCUGCCCCUGACUCUGGGAUAAGCGCUGGAAACGGCGUCUAAUACUGGAUACGAACCACGAAGGCAUCUUCAGUGGUUGGAAAGAAUUUCGGUUGGGGAUGGGCUCGCGGCCUAUCAGCUUGUUGGUGAGGUAAUGGCUCACCAAGGCGUCGACGGGUAGCCGGCCUGAGAGGGUGACCGGCCACACUGGGACUGAGACACGGCCCAGACUCCUACGGGAGGCAGCAGUGGGGAAUAUUGCACAAUGGGCGCAAGCCUGAUGCAGCAACGCCGCGUGAGGGAUGACGGCCUUCGGGUUGUAAACCUCUUUUAGCAGGGAAGAAGCGAAAGUGACGGUACCUGCAGAAAAAGCGCCGGCUAACUACGUGCCAGCAGCCGCGGUAAUACGUAGGGCGCAAGCGUUAUCCGGAAUUAUUGGGCGUAAAGAGCUCGUAGGCGGUUUGUCGCGUCUGCUGUGAAAUCCGGAGGCUCAACCUCCGGCCUGCAGUGGGUACGGGCAGACUAGAGUGCGGUAGGGGAGAUUGGAAUUCCUGGUGUAGCGGUGGAAUGCGCAGAUAUCAGGAGGAACACCGAUGGCGAAGGCAGAUCUCUGGGCCGUAACUGACGCUGAGGAGCGAAAGGGUGGGGAGCAAACAGGCUUAGAUACCCUGGUAGUCCACCCCGUAAACGUUGGGAACUAGUUGUGGGGUCCAUUCCACGGAUUCCGUGACGCAGCUAACGCAUUAAGUUCCCCGCCUGGGGAGUACGGCCGCAAGGCUAAAACUCAAAGGAAUUGACGGGGACCC
rnacentral:rRNA from 1 species